AUUGAACGCUGGCGGCAUGCCUUACACAUGCAAGUCGAACGGCAGCACGGGAGCAAUCCUGGUGGCGAGUGGCGAACGGGUGAGUAAUAUAUCGGAACGUGCCCGGUCGUGGGGGAUAACGUAGCGAAAGCUACGCUAAUACCGCAUACGAUCUACGGAUGAAAGCGGGGGAUCGCAAGACCUCGCGCGAUUGGAGCGGCCGAUAUCAGAUUGGGUAGUUGGUGAGGUAAAGGCUCACCAAGCCGACGAUCUGUAGCUGGUCUGAGAGGACGACCAGCCACACUGGGACUGAGACACGGCCCAGACUCCUACGGGAGGCAGCAGUGGGGAAUUUUGGACAAUGGGCGCAAGCCUGAUCCAGCAAUGCCGCGUGCAGGAAGAAGGCCUC
rnacentral:rRNA from 1 species